rnacentral:lncRNA from 1 species
CUGGUUUGUCAUCCUCACGUUCUUGCUGGUUAUUUGCCUGUGGAGAGAGUUUUUAGAUUCUGGUAGAAUUCUUGGAGAAUGUCUUUGAAGAGCUGUUUAUGUCAAAGAAAAUGAAGGCAGCUUUGGCAACUGGAAGGAAUUUCUUGCUUUAAAUCAUAGUCCUUAGAUGGUAUCAUAUCGUACCGAGAAGCACUCCACGAUGCCAGACUCACCUGUGGAUGUGAAGACGCAGUCUAGGCUGACUCCCCCAGCAAUGCCGCCUCCUCCGACCACUCAAGGAGCCCCGAGAACCAGUU